rnacentral:rRNA from 1 species
GCGAAAAGAACCCCGGCGAGGGGAGUGAAAAAGAACCUGAAACCGUGUACGUACAAGCAGUGGGAGCACAGGUUUACCUGUGUGACUGCGUACCUUUUGUAUAAUGGGUCAGCGACUUAUAUUCUGUAGCAAGGUUAACCGAAUAGGGGAGCCGGAGGGAAACCGAGUCUUAAUUGGGCGUUAAGUUGCAGGGUAUAGACCCGAAACCCGGUGAUCUAGCCAUGGGCAGGUUGAAGGUUGGGUAACACUAACUGGAGGACCGAACCGACUAAUGUUGAAAAAUUAGCGGAUGACCUGUGGCUGGGGGUGAAAGGCCAAUCAAACCGGGAGAUAGCUGGUUCUCCCCGAAAGCUAUUUAGGUAGCGCCUCGUGAAUUCAUCUCCGGGGGUAGAGCACUGUUUCGGCUAGGGGGCCAUCCCGGCUUACCAACCCGAUGCAAACUGCGAAUACCGGAGAAUGUUAUCACGGGAGACACACGGCGGGUGCUAACGUCCGUCGUGAAGAGGGAAACAACCCAGACCGCCAGCUAAGGUCCCAAAGUCAUGGUUAAGUGGGAAACGAUGUGGGAAGGCCCAGACAGCCAGGAUGUUGGCUUAGAAGCAGCCAUCAUUUAAAGAAAGCGUAAUAGCUCACUGGUCGAGUCGGCCUGCGCGGAAGAUGUAACGGGGCUAAACCAU